CCUAUAGGUCCUUACCCUCUCCCUGUAGGUCCAUGUCCUUACCCUCUUCCUGUAGGUCCUUACCCUCUCCCUGUAGGUCCUUACCCUCUCCCUAUAGGUCCUUACCCUCUUC